AAAGAAGAAAGAAAGAAAGAAAGAAAGAAAGAAAGAAAGAAAGAAAGAAAGAAAGAAAGGGAUUCCAGUGAGAACAGCAUUGUCCCCGGUCUGGAGGAGGCCUGAGAAUACACCGAGGAAAACGCAAACACCGACCGCUAGCGGCUACAGUGGGAGAAGGGGAAACUUCUCCCUUCUGCUUCUCCUCUGCAGGCUAUACCUGAGGAGAGGAGCCAGGCGAGAAGAAGGUGGUCGCCAGCGGAUCCCGUGGACUGUCCUUUAACCUCCCACUCCUGUUCUGCUGCAUUAUUUUAGCUUGGUUUUAGUUGGUUGUGCUUUAUGCUUUUGAAUUCUUUUAAGGAGGAACUUUAGUUGUUCUUUUUUAAAUAAAUGUUGUUAUCCCUUAA